rnacentral:ncRNA from 2 species
UAUAAUAGAAAUGUUUUUAAUAAUUUAAUAGUUUUGUGAUUGGGGAAGUGAGGUGUAAAUCCUCCACAGUGCCGCUACGGUAAUCCCGAGUAAAAUCGAGGGAAAGUCCGAAUACCAAUCAUAAAGUAAGUCCCGAG